rnacentral:sRNA from 1 species
ACGAGAGCCAUCCCCUCGACUCUGCAACCCUCAUUCAAAUCUUCCAUAUAGCUUGGGCUAUAUGGGCGGUCAACCAUGACAUAACUAUAAGAUUUUGGUUGGAUCAAAGAAGUGGCACUAUUAUUCAAGCAUGGAGCAGUAUCCACGUACAGAGAAGAAUUUACUUGGUUUCUACACCUCAGGCGGAAAAUUUCGAGGCAGGGAAGAGCAAUUGUUGUUGUCAAGGCCAGGAUCUCGAAGUCGGAUUGUUUGGUUCUCGUAAUUGAUUGCCUGUACGUGGUAUUUACCAUAGUAUUCACCAUGAUAAUGUAGAUCUAGUACUGUAAUAUUGUUGUUCUCACAGGAAAGAGUAUACCUUCUAUCGCCACAUCUCUUCGGAUCAUCGUUUAGUCGAAAAGGAUAAGUUAUGUUAUGGAUAAGGCCGCAGGAGGAGGUACAUGAAGACUUACUAUCAUCCUUAGCGUUACAAGUUUCACUGCAAAAGCAAAGAACAAGAAAGGCUAGAACGAAAGGCCACCAAGACAAGGUGAAGGAUCUGCUUCCACUUUUUUCCAUG